GAUGAACGCUGGCGGCGUGCCUAAUACAUGCAAGUCGAGCGAACAGAUGAGGAGCUUGCUCCUCUGACGUUAGCGGCGGACGGGUGAGUAACACGUGGAUAACCUACCUAUAAGACUGGGAUAACUUCGGGAAACCGGAGCUAAUACCGGAUAAUAUAUUGAACCGCAUGGUUCAAUAGUGAAAGACGGUUUUGCUGUCACUUAUAGAUGGAUCCGCGCCGCAUUAGCUAGUUGGUAAGGUAACGGCUUACCAAGGCAACGAUGCGUAGCCGACCUGAGAGGGUGAUCGGCCACACUAGAACUGAGACACGGUCCAGACUCCUGCGGGAGGCAGCAGUAGGGAAUCUUCCGCAAUGGGCGAAAGCCUGACGGAGCAACGCCGCGUGAGUGAUGAAGGUCUUCGGAUCGUAAAACUCUGUUAUUAGGGAAGAACAAAUGUGUAAGUAACUAUGCACGUCUUGACGGUACCUAAUCAGAAAGCCACGGCUAACUACGUG
rnacentral:rRNA from 1 species